rnacentral:rRNA from 1 species
AUGGCGCCGGCCGUUGUCGCCGGAGGGCCGCCCGAAAGGACAUCUUUGAGGAGCAUCUUGUCCGAUCUGCAGGCAUGCAUCUCUGAGCCUGCUAGAAUUUUUCAUUACUGGACACGGAGCAUUCUUCGACGACUUCUUAAUCCAGGACCGGAUAAGGAAACCCAAAAGGGAGGAAAAACCGUCAAUGCUACAAUGAAGGGAACGGAAACGGGAACGGCAGAAAAAGAAUAUUCCGGUGACUGCCAUCACAAAAAGGUUGACAACAACUAUGGCGACGGAUACCAUGGUAUCAAUGAUGACAGCUUUGGCAGCAGUAUAGAAGAUGAUGACGAUGAUGGCAGGUACCUAGACAUUGGCGAUGAUGGUGUUGGCAACAGGUUCUAUGACAUCUGCAUCUACAGUUACAACAGCAGUGACGACCAUAUCGAUAGGGAGUUGCCACCACCAAGUCAUAGUAUUGCCUAUUAUGGAGACAGUGUUAAUUUACGUGCAGCUUACUCCUUUUCCCAGGACCGGGUUGAGUUGUUUGCUGUGCGUCCCCGCUUCCACUUCGUGGGUACCUUAGUUGCGACCAAUGGUCAUUCUUACUAUUGGUCCUCCCAAAAAGAACAAGAUUAUCAGAGUGUUGAUUUUAAGGAUAAUUUGAUCUUCCACUUAGAAGGCGGUGCCCUUAUGGACACCUUCUGGGUUAAAAUCAAAAUCCUACAGGAUGAUGGCAGCAUUGGUGAUGUUCCUGUAUCCUUUUCGUUCACAGUCGACCCAUACGAUUGCAAUAAUGUCAUGACCCGCAUCAUCUCACUUACACGCAAUCGCAAAAUGGAGUUGACUUUCAUGGCGCUGCACUCGGCUAUACAGGCCAAUGUGUAUGUCAACCUUGAUUUCACAUCUUCCAAUGCCACUAGGACGGGCACCAUCUACUAUGUUUAUGGCGAAAUCACCGCACACCAUCAACUCUAUAACGGUCGGAGUGUCUUGCUCUUUUCUCGUGGAGAAGAGAACAAAGCAGAGGUCAUUGAUGGUGAACUUCCACUGUUACGGAAGUGUGCAGUUGUUCCUAUAUACUUGGAGCCGCUCCUGAUACUCAAGUUCGACCUGCAUGUUCCAAUUAAUUGUGAUCAUGAUGAUGGUGGUUGUACCAUCGCCUUCCGAGAUUAUGUUACAUUUUACCGUGACCAGUAUGAAGAAAAAAUAAUCUGCAGUGCCAACCAUGCAGAACGCCACCAUGGUGAAGUUAAAGUGCGGAUUACAUACCAGUAG